rnacentral:rRNA from 1 species
AUUGAACGCUGGCGGCAGGCCUAACACAUGCCAGUCGAGCGGAUGAAGGGAGCUUGCUCCUGGAUUCAGCGGCGGACGGGUGAGUAAUGCCUAGGAAUCUGCCUGGUAGUGGGGGAUAACGUCCGGAAACUGGCGCUAAUACCGCAUACGUCCUGAGGGAGAAAGUGGGGGAUCUUCGGACCUCACGCUAUCAGAUGAGCCUAGGUCGGAUUAGCUAGUUGGUGGGGUAAAGGCCUACCAAGGCGACGAUCCGUAACUGGUCUGAGAGGAUGAUCAGUCACACUGGUACUGAGACACGGUCCAGACUCCUACGGGAGGCAGCAGUGGGGAAUAUUGGACAAUGGGCGAAAGCCUGAUCCAGCCAUGCCGCGUGUGUGAAGAAGGUCUUCGGAUUGUAAAGCACUUUAAGUUGGGAGGAAGGGCAGUAAGUUAAUACCUUGCUGUUUUGACGUUACCAACAGAAUAAGCACCGGCUAACUUCGUG